rnacentral:rRNA from 1 species
AUGAAGUUUCUCCAUAUACGAGCACGGAUCAAACCAUGUCAACGCAGUGACACACAUCGCCUCGAUCUUUGUACAGACUACAAACCUCCUCCUCCUCCCCACAACCUCCUCGAUCGAUCGCGAUCCCUUCCACUCUUUAGUCUAUACACGCCACGAACCCUAACCAGAUUAACACGAACACACGCAGCAAAAAACACAGGAACAGAUUCAUGGCUUCAUUCUGCUCGUCUUGGUCUUCUUGGAUCGGCCCUCCUGGCUCCAACUCAUCAGCUUGCGGAAAACCCCCUGCCGUUCCUCGUAGCUCGACCUCCUCCCGAAGCUGCUGCUCUUCUUGAAGCUACUGCUCUUCUUGAAGCUGCUGCCGCCCAGGCUGUUCCAGCUCCCGAGCUUCGCCUGCCUGGCGGCGGAGGUGGGGGACGCGGCGGCGUCGGCCUCCGGCACCACCGGUGGCGUCACGCACCGUAUCAGCGCCCAGUCCACGCCCGCGAAGAACGGGUGCCGCUUGAUCUCGGCGGCCCCGCGCGCGGACCCCAUGCGCCGCCGCGGGUCCCUCUCGAGCAGCCUGCCCACGAGGUCCUUGAGCUGCGCGGCCGCCUCGGCCUCGCCGUCCAGCUUCGGGUACGUGACCUGCUUCGACAGGAUGUUCUUGAGCGUCACGUCCUUGGCGGGGCCCUUGAACGGCGUGCGCCCGUACACCAGCUCGUACAGGAACACCCCGAAGGCCCACCAGUCCACGCCGUUGCCGUGCCCGUUCCCGCUCACGAGCUCCGGCGCGAGGUACUCGUGCGUGCCCACGCAGUCCUUGGAGUUGGCGGUCGUCGGCUCGGCCACGAACUCGAACCGCUCCUUCGCGUCGACGUCAUCCUCGUCGCUGCCGCGGUUGGAAGAGAAGCACGACGGUAG